AGAGUUUGAUCAUGGCUCAGAACGAACGCUGGCGGCACGCCUAACACAUGCAAGUCGAGCGGGAACUUCGGUUCUAGCGGCGGACGGGUUAGUAACGCGUGGGAACGUACCUUUUGCUUCGGAAUAGCCUCGGGAAACUGGGAGUAAUACCGGAUGUGCCCUUUGGGGGAAAGAUUUAUCGGCAAGAGAUCGGCCCGCGUCUGAUUAGAUAGUUGGUGGGGUAAUGGCCUACCAAGUCUGCGAUCAGUAGCUGGUUUGAGAGGAUGAUCAGCAACACUGGGACUGAGACACGGCCCAGACUCCUACGGGAGGCAGCAGUGGGGAAUCUUAGACAAUGGGCGCAAGCCUGAUCUAGCGAUGCCGCGUGAGUGACGAAGGCCUUAGGGUCGUAAAGCUCUUUCGCCAGGGAUGAUAAUGACAGUACCUGGUAAAGAAACCCCGGCUAACUCCGUGCCAGCAGCCGCGGUAAUACGGAGGGGGUUAGCGUUGUUCGGAAUUACUGGGCGUAAAGCGCACGUA
rnacentral:rRNA from 1 species